rnacentral:rRNA from 1 species
UCCUACGGGGGGCAGCAGUGGGGAAUAUUGCACAAUGGGGGAAACCCUGAUGCAGCAACGCCGCGUGAGCGACGAAGGCCUUCGGGUUGUAAAGCUCUGUCUUCGCUGACGAAUAAAUGACGGUAAGCGAGGAGGAAGCCACGGCUAACUACGUGCCAGCAGCCGCGGUAAUACGUAGGUGGCAAGCGUUGUCCGGAAUUAUUGGGCGUAAAGGGUGCGUAGGCGGUCUUUUAAGUGGGAUGUGAAAUACCUAGGCUUAACUUAGGAAUGGCAUUCCAAACUGGAAGACUAGAGUGCAGGAGAGGAAAGUGGAAUUCCCAGUGUAGCGGUGAAAUGCGUAGAGAUUGGGAGGAACACCAGUGGCGAAGGCGACUUUCUGGACUGUAACUGACGCUGAGGCACGAAAGCGUGGGGAGCAAACAGGAUUAGAUACCCCGGUAGC